rnacentral:rRNA from 1 species
UACGAAGGGAGCUAGCGUUGUUCGGAAUUACUGGGCGUAAAGGGCGCGUAGGCGGCUUUGUAAGUCAGAUGUGAAAGCCCCGGGCUUAACCUGGGAACUGCAUUUGAUACUGCAGAGCUAGAGAUCGAGAGAGGAAAGUGGAAUUACGAGUGUAGAAGUGAAAUUCGUAGAUAUUCGUAGGAACACCGGUGGCGAAGGCGGCAUCCUGGACCAAUUCUGACACUGAGGAGCGAAAGCCAGGGGAGCAAACGGG